AGCAUCCUUAAUCUACACCCUCUCCUGCCAUGGCUCUGUUGUGGUGGGCUCUACACGUGUCACAUCGUGAAGAAAUCUCUCCUUCACGGAGGCUCUGAAAGUGGCCGGGGAAAAGGUUGCCCAGUAUAAUUAGGUCAUUGGAGUUUGCCCCACGAAAAAGGAAUUGUGGAUCUGAAACCUAAAUAACUGCAGCAAUCCACAUAAACAGAUGGGGGCACUAUCCAAUAUGCUCAACAACAUCCCGCCCGGCGCACAAUGCGGCAGAUCAUCAGAGCUCACGGCGGCGGCGGG